GAACAACGAGUUGAAUGCCACUUCCAAAAUGUGUGAGCUUCUUGCUGAGGAUCCUAAAUUUGAGCAAGGCUACAUUGCCGUUACAGUUUCCAAGGGAGUCUAUAUCUUGAAGAGAUGCCCAAUAUCACCCUUUCAAGGUAUCUCACUUUAUGGCAGAUAAACAUUAAGAAUGAUGAGGUGUCCUUCUGUGAUCUCAAAUCCAGUGACUUGUCCCAACCCACAGCAAGUGCAAAGCAUUAUGAACACAGCUAUGCUCUGCAUCCCAUUGUGACUCUUGAGACACAACCUAACUGCAACAGCCAACCCUGUCUGCAAAGAAGAACUUAGCCACCUGCUUAAGCACGCAGCACACACGGCCCCUUCCUCUCUCCUUCUAGCUUGGUAGAAGGUUCCUAGUCUGUGAGAGAGGCAUGCUUGCUUAGUGUGAGCUCUUCCCAGGUUCUCUGAA